AUUGCGAAUGAACAAGGAAAUGCUCAGCUUGAAAAAUGGGGCCUUUGGCUUUGAAUUGUAAUUUUGAAAUGUAUUGCCAAUGGAGGCGCAGGUGCAAGCCUAUUGAAAGAAAGCGUCAAUGAGGGUGAGAUUCCUUUUUGUCAUUUGCAGUCCUCCGUGCACGGUAUAUAUUUGACGAGUCACACUCCUCGGCAUUGGAAUGCAAAGUGGGUGGUAAAUUCCAUGUAAAGGUAAAUAUAUUAUUGAGACUGAUAGCAAACAAGUACCAUGAGGGAAAUAUGAAAAGGACUUUGAAAAGAGAAUUAAAAGAGUCUGCAUUUGCUGAACAGAAAGCAAACAGAAUUGAUUUUACUUGGUGAGAUUGUUGUGCUUACUCUAUCAUUUAUAUGGUUGAUGUGGGUGCGAUGGUUCUUACCUUGAAUGUCAGCUUCUAUUUCUGCAAAUCAUUACCCUUGCACAUGAAUGGUAAUUUGCCUGCGGGUAUUGGAAUGCAUGUGUUUGCAAUGAUUUGUGAUUUGACGCAUGUGUUUGGUGAAAUUUGUAUAUGCUCUUUUGUCGAAGGGGAAAGCUUACUUUUUUGAGCAUUGCAAGCCCUUACACAUCAGUGCUGGCAAAAUGUUUCUGCUUGACCCGUCUUGAAACACGGACCAAGGAGUCUAACAGAUGUGCAAGUUCGUGGGUGGCAAACCUUUUUGCGCAAUGAAAGUAUUGGCUGGGAUACUUGCACCAGCAGCCGACCAAUUAGCAGACAGAGGUUUGAGUUUGAGCAUAUCUAUUAGGACCCGAAAGAUGGUGAACUAUGCCUGAACAGAAUGAAUUCAGAGGAAACUCUGAUGGAGGUUCGUAUCGAUACUGACGUGCAAAUCGUUCGUCAUACUUGGGUAUAGGGGCGAAAGACUAAUCGAMCCAUNUAGUAGCUGGUUCCCUNAGAAGUUUCCCUCAGGAUAGCUGGAGUUGCACAGUUUUAUCAGGUAAAGCGAAUGAUUAGAGGAAUUGGGGACACGCUGUCCNUGACCUAUUCUCAAACUUUAAAUGGGUAAGAUGCAAUGGUUGCUUUAUUGAACUUUUGGAAUAAAUGGCAAUAUCAGGUGGGCCAUUUUUGGUAAGCAGAAUCUGGCGAUGAGGGAUGAACCUAACGUUGGGUUAAGGUGCUUAAUUGCUUGCUCAUUAGAUACCAGAAAGGGUGUUGGUUCAUUUUAACAGCAGGACGGUGGUCAUGGAAGUCGAAAUCCGCUAAGGAGUGUGUAACAACUCACCUGCCGAAUGGACUAGCCCCGAAAAUGGAUGGCGCUCAAGCGGGUGACCGAUACCCAACCACUGUUGCAAAUAGUGUCAGUGUGUAGGAGGGCAUGNCGGUUUGUGAUGCA
rnacentral:rRNA from 1 species